rnacentral:lncRNA from 1 species
UUUUUUUUUUUUUAAGGACCACACCUACAGCAUAUGGAAGUUUCCAGGCUAGGGGUCAAAUCAGACCUGCAGCUGCUGGUUUACAGCACAGUUCAUGGCAAUGCCAGAUCCUUAACCCACUGAGCAAGGCCAGGGAUUGAACACAUAUCCUCAUGGAUACUAGUUGGGUUCUAAAUCCACUAAGCCACAACAGGAACUUUUUAAGAAAGGAAGAAAGUGCCAAAUUGAUUUAGUCAAGGGGGAAAAAAAAAACCAAAAAACCAUUCAAUAGAAUUUCCUGUCCCAUAACGUGGUGUGUUACAUGAGAGGGCAUUUAUCAUAAGUCACAGUGACAUUACAAGCGGCUGCAAAAAUUCAUAGACAUAACCAAGAGGUCAGCAUGGUCAAACACAGAAAAUGUUUUGGAUGACAUAUCCAACAGCUAGAGAGAUUACUUGCUUUUUCCAAAGUUUGAGAAAUUCUAAUUUUUGAAUUGUGCUUCCAAGCCUGUGACAUUAGAAAGAAAAAUAAAGCCUAACAAAAGAAACAAUCAUUCUGGUAACCUAACAAGUUAUUUAAAUUACCUUUUGAAGAGUUUUAUUUUACUGAAGUCACUACUGCAGCAAUCCUAUUCACCUCAGUUUCUUUAUCAUAACUUCCUUCUGAAAAGGAACUUAGUAUCUGUUAGGGCUCUUGCCCACUCAGAAGUCAGUGUCAGGUACUGGAACCAGCCAAAGUUUGGAUAAUAUCAAUCAUGGUCUUCUUCUGCAGCAUGGUCUCUAGUUCCUGUCAUGUUCCUGUCGACAGGAUGUGGUGGCUCCAGUGAUCUUUGCAGGACUGCCUUAACUUGAAUAUGAUGGAUCCAUGUUUUAAUUCCCUUCAGCCUUCGCUGAGGAAUGGGCUGUGAGUAGUACUUUGUCAGGCCUGGUCAAAUAAGGAUGGUGCUGGUCUUCUGGAUAUUUUUUGUUCCAAGUUUUCAUCAGGACCCAGUCUCCAGGACAGAAGUGGUCACUAAGAAGCAUGCAAUUUCCAAGAAAGGUUUAAAGCUCCAGAUACUUCUUCAAUUAUUCUUAUUAUAAAGGCCCCUCCUUUGUCACUCUGAAAUAGACAUAGGCAGCCCAAACCUAGGAACUAUCUCUUUCAGUAGGGCUUUAACAACUGAAGAUGCUUUUUCAGACCGAAAAAUGCUGGUUAGGUAAAUGCUUCUACCUGACCAGUAAAAAGUGUCUACACAUGCUAGUUAAGUACCUGAGGUCUGUAGUGGAUCUUCAGCAUCAUAGUAAAAUCAAAUCUGCCAAUAAUCUUUGAGUCUAAAUUCCUUUGUUUCUUCCAUCCCUUCCAUCCCUUCAUCGAUCUCAAAGUCUGGAUCCUCCAAUGGCAGGUCCCUUGGGUCAGGACAUCUGAAAUAGAUCUGUCAGUUACCUAAAUGCAGUCUUGAUCAUGUUCAAAUUUUGGCCUAUCCUCAGCAUUCACAUCCCAAUUGGGAUCUGCUGUUGGUACAUUCAUUCCUGCUACAGCCCUUCUGGAGUGGUGAGGGACGUCUACCUAAAGCAGAUCUGGCUCCUCCCUAGUUUUUCCUAGUCCUCUUCUAUGUUCUUCUGAAGUGAGGAUGAUGUUUAAUAAAUUUUGAUAUCAGCACAGGUUGGGUUUGUAGGUUGGAAAAUUUUCCAUUCUCUUUGGAUUGUCUCUAUAAGUUGGCAUCUGGUUUUUCCAAAUGAAUAAACCCAAAGUUGAAAAAGAGUGAACCAAAAUUAAUUCCAUCAGCUAAACAGUCUCAGCAUUCACAACUCCAGUGGGACUUGUCUUAAGGGGUAUUGCCCCACCUGGGUUUGGAGAGCUCUCUGGCCAAACUGAGUACCCUGGAGGUGUGAGAUGGGGAGGUUAUUCCUAGUUCUGGAGUAGCCUUACCUAAGAGUCUUUGUAAGAUGCAAACCCUCAUGCAAGGUGUAAUCCUUUUGCUCAUAAUUCUAAUUUAGUUUUGGAGCAUAAAAUCAAGUCAUCUAGAAUCUAAAAUAUGGUACAAAUGAACUUAUUUACAAAACAAACAGGCUCAAAGACACAGAAAACAAACUUAUGGUUACCAAAGGGGAAAGUAGGUAGGGGAAGGAUAAAUUAGGAGUUUGGGAUUAGCUGGUACAAAAUACUGUACAUAAAAUAGAAAAACAAGGUCGUACUGUAUUGCACAGGGAACUAUAUUCAAUAUCCUAUAAUAAACCAUAUGGAAAAUACAAAAAUAUAUGUAUAACUGAAUCACUUCUAUGUAACAGAAACACACUGUAAAUCAAGUAUAUUUCAGUUGUAAAAAGCAAGUCAACUAUAAGCAUUUUUGUGAAAGCAUCAGAUUAAUAACUGUCUAUGAAUGCAAAGACUUAAAGGCACAGUUAAAGACCUGAUUACAAUGCAGCUGUCAAGGAAAUUUGGCUAUUUCUGUGCCAUAAUUUAAAAUAACAUAUUAAUGACAUUUACCCAUAUAACAUAGCCAGAGAUUUACCACUGAUUUGGUUCCCAUGUAAUUUAACUUACCAAAUAAUCCUGAUUUACUUCAGUAUUGUUCUUUGACAUAUAGAGAAAAGAAAUGUCUUGGAGGUAUCCCAGAGCCCCUCUGGGAAAACCUAAAUAAAAUUUUGCUACUGUCAACCUCUAGUUAGAAUUUGAUCCAUGAGAAGUUUAUCAAAAAGUAUCAAAAGGCUUUAAGACACUUGGUCAUAUAGGAUCAUAGGUCAUUGUGAAACAAUACUUACUCACUUAACCAGUAACAACAACAACAAAAAAUUCAAAGACAAAGUUAUAACAGAUCACUUAAAAAGGUAAAGACACCUCCAAUCUAUUAUCAAAAGCAGUUCAGUGUUCCAAGAAAACUUUAGUUUCUUCUGUUAGAACAAAUGCCAGUCUUGCAUCAGCUACCUUUUUGUAAUAAUUCAUCUACCUUAUUAAGUCCAAUCUAAUCUUAACCAGUCCUGGCCAUGCACAAUCAAGGUCUUUUUUCCCCCUACAAAUCUUUAUAACUUUCUGUGUCAACUUAUCCCUUAUUUUCUUUCCCAUUUUGAAAUAACCAGCUUUAGAACAAAAUUACUUUUUCCCCCUUAACACAAUGCAUUUUUAUUCUUUAUACUUUCUUUGCCUUUAGACACACAUCCCACUUUCCUUGCAUACUGAGAUAUUUCCCUUAUUUCUAGUAGCUUUAAUUAUAAUUCAAAACUCAAAAACCUUUAGUCUCUAACAAAAACCAAGAAGAAACUGAACUGUUUGCUCAUCAGGGAAUGCUGGUAUGACAAACUUAUGAAUAUCUCUAACCUCUACAAACAUUUUCUCACAGCAUAAUUUUUAUCAAUGUGGUAAAAGAAGUGUCUAAAACUAAAAAUCUUUACAUUUUGUCCCCUUUAUUUUUUUAGGGCCACCCCCACAGCAUAUGGAGGUUCUCAGGCUAGGGGUCAACUCAGAGCUGUAGCUGCCAGCCUAUGCCACAGCCAUGCCAGAUCUGAGCUGCAUCUGUGACCUACACCACAGCUCAUGGCAAUGCCAGAUCCUUAACCCACUGAGCAAGACCAGGGCUCAAACCUGCAUCUUCAUGGAUACUAGGCAGAUUCAUUUCUAUUGUGCCAUGACAGGAACUCCUGUCCUCUUAAUUAAAGAGAAACAAAACUUACUCAUUUAGCAAUUCAUGUAUCAGAGACAGGAUUAAGAUGGCAGAAUAGGACUGGAGCUCACCUUCUCUCACGAAAACAACAAAAUUACAACCAAAUGCUGAACAACCUUCAACCAAAUGGACUGGAAACUUUCAAAAAGAUAUCCUACUCCAGAAGACAAAGAGAAGGCCACAUUAAGAGGUAGGAGAGGUGAUUAUGCAAUAUAAGCAACUCCAUACCUGCUGGGUGGGAAGCCCACAGACUGGAAAGUAACUGUAUCAUAGAGACCUACAAGAAUGAGAGUUUUGAGCCCCAUGUCAGGUCCCUGCACCUAGAGAUCUGGCAUUGGGAGAAAGAGCCCCUAGAGCAUCCAGCACUUAAGGCCAGUGGGGCUUGUGUGCAGGAGCUCCACAGGACUGGGGGAAACAGAGACCCCAUUCUUGAAAGGUGCAUACAGACUUUCACGUGCACUGGGUCCCAGGGCAAAGCAGAGGCUCCAAAGGAAUCUGGGUUGAACCUCACUGCAGUUCUUGGAGGAUCUCCUGGGAAAACAGGGGAUGACUAGCUCAUUGUGGGGGAAGAACAUUGCAGGCAAAGCUCUCAGGAAUAUUCUUCAGUGUGUGUUCCUUUAGAGGUGCCUAUUUUGGAAAAAUCUGGCCCUACCCAUCAGCGCUGAGAACCCCAGGCCAAACAAUAAUCCAGGUGGGAUCACAGCUACAUCCAUCAGUAAACGGGCUGCCUAAAGACCCUCCAGGCACACAGCCACAUCUACUCUCACCCAGAGGCAAAGCCCCACCCACCAGAGGGAUAGGAAUCAGCCCCACCUACCAGUGGGCAGGCACCAGUCCCUCCCAUCAGGAAGCCUAUGGCAAGUUCCCUUACCAACUUCAUCCACAAGGGGGGCAGACAUCAGAAGUAAGAGAGGCUACAACUCUAUUGUCUGCAAAAAGGAGACCACACCAAAAACCUAUAAAAAUGAAAAGGCAGAGAACUAUAACUCACAUAAGGGAACAACCCCAGAAAAACAGCUAAGUGAUCUGGAGAUUCUCAGCCUCCAGGAAAAAGACUUUAGACUGAUGAUGCUGAAGAUGAUGCAAGACAUUGGAAAUAAACCGGAGGCAAAGAUUGAUAAUUUACAGCAAAUAUUGAGCAAAGAAAUACAAGAUUUAGGAGUUCCCGUCGUGGCGCAGUGGUUAACGAAUCCGACUAGGAACCAUGAGGUUGAGGGUUCGGUCCCUGCCCUUGCUCAGUGGGUUAACGAUCCGGCGUUGCCGUGAGCUGUGGUGUAGGUUGCAGACGCGGCUCGGAUCCCGCGUUGCUGUGGCUCUGGCGUAGGCCGGUGGCUACAGCUCCGAUUCAACCCCUAGCCUGGGAACCUCCAUAUGCCGCGGGAGCGGCCCAAGAAAUAGCAA